GAGCCGUGCCGAGGACGGCGGCGGGAGGCUCGGGGCCGCCGGGGUCCCCCCUCGGCGCGAGGGGUCCGGGAGCGGCGGGGUCCCACCCCGGGGGGGGGAGCGGGGGGAGCGGGGCGCGUGUCCCCGGUGCCGCCCAAGGCGCUGCUCCCGGGUCCCGCGCCGGCGAGGGGCCUUGCCGGGCUGCUCCGCCUUCGCCCCUGCCCCCCCGGGGGUCGCGGCGGGGGGGUCCCCGGCCUGUCUGAGCUCUGCUGCUGCCGCUGCCGGAGCGCUGGACUCGCGGGGCAGCCGCGCGCCGCCUCGCAGGAGCCUGGCUUCGGUGUUUGAUGCUUCGGGGGGGCGGGGGGGGGACGGACCCCGCUUUUCUGUGGCAGCGGCGGAGUGGCACAGUGCCAGGGAGCAUCUGGCACUUGGCAGCGGGUGGUUCCCGCGCUGUGCGGGUCGCUGGAGCAGGCUCUGCACCGUCCCGUGCGGACGCGCAGCCUGCGCCUGGUCCCUGCCGCGCUGGGACUCGGGCAGCGCUCGGUCGGACGCUAGCAGGAGCCGCGGGCGGCCGGGGGGGUCUCCCCGCUCCGGGGGUGCCCUGUCCGUCGCUCCCGGCAGCGCGGGCUCCGGGCCAUCCUGGGCGCCAGGAGGUUUCCCUGCGGCUCCCGCGCCAGCCCGGCAUCUCGGCCGGCGUCCCCAGCAUCCCGGCUGCCUGUCCCUGUGGUCCCCAUGGUCCCCGCGGUCCGCGUGCCACUGGCCGCCGUCGCCCGGGGAAGGGGAGCCAGGCGGGCGCCGUGCAGCUGCUCCGCAACCCCAGCCGUCGCCGGGAAGAGCAGGCGUUGCCGGCGCGGAGCGAGUGCUUCCACGAUGACGGGGAAGGGCGCGAGGACCCGCUCUGGACACGGAGCUCCAGCUGCCGCGGACGAGCCAAGCUCCUCUUCCACCGCCGGCCGAGGGGGACGGGCCCGGGCAGCAGCGGCGUUCGGGGCUCCGGGCUUGCCGUGGGCAGAACGCGCUCCGCUCGCCCCGUUCUAGAGGGACCGUCACCGCCCUCCGCGACGCCCGAGACCCCGGGGCCUGGCGCGCGCUGCCCCGUGAGACCUGCUCCCGCCCUCGGCGGCGGCGCGAGCCCGUCCCCAGAGGAGCCCCGGAGGGACGGGCCAGCGCCGGGGCGGCCGUGCCCACCGCGGCCUCGCGAAGCCCUGCUUGGGCGCAAGGCGGUCCGUGCUUUGCGGUGCCUGGUGUGCCACUCGGGAGAGCAAAUAGUUCCAGCGUUUCUGAACGUGAAGAGAAGUAGCCCGAGUCCUCAGAGCUGAGGCCAGCAAGGUCUGCAGACCUCCACGGCACAAAUGCAGAAAUGGGAAACUACGGUUCGCUAAGCUGCUGGAGAAACCCCGCAGAAACCCAUGGAGCCCGACUUCCCCAAGCACGGUCAACCCGCACGGGCUCUCCCGCUGCCCGGGGUGCCGCCAAGAUGUCGCCCGCUUCUUCAAAAAGCGUAACUCGUGCGAUGGCGACGUUUGCUCUUUGCUUUCACCGAGAAGCCGGCACGCAUGACCGGCGGUCGAGCGGGGCCUCGGGGCCGCUGGGGUCGAGGGGGCUCGGAGCAGGGCCCCCCCCGCGCGGCCGAGGAGGGGCUGGGGCGGAGCAGCAGCCAACGAGCCGGAGGCUGCUCAAGGCGAACGUCCCUGCCGGGCUGUGCGCUAGCUGCUCCGCUGCCGUGGACGUUCCCUUCGUCAAGCACGCUUGGGUUAUGCAAGCACAGUUCGCUCAGGACAACAAUCCAGAUGCACAAACGCUCCAAAAACUGGC